GGGAGGAAAGCAUGGGAGGCGUUGGGGUCCAGUAUACCUGGGUGAAAGUUCUUAGUGACACAAAAAAUGAGUGACGAAAAUCUUCUGAAAACAGAGACAACUGUUACUUCAACAGAAGAAUACAAAUCUACAGUGAAGAUAACGCUGUUGCCUUGUGAUCAAAGUAAGCAGGAGACAAGGUCUGAAGUUAUGUGAGUCAGCAAGGACUGUAACUAACCUGAGGUUAUCCGAACAACACCACCCAUGGAACAGAGUCCAAUCAGUGAUACUUCUCCAACAUCCACCUAUAGCUUUGUGAGACCUCACUCUGGACCCAACAGAUCCACUGAGGCCAGAAGCAAAGCUUUGCCCGAGAGCUUGUAUGCCCAGGUAGAAAUUCAUCCCAGAUCCUAAAAUCUCUUCAGAAAGCUUGAAACCUGGAUCCCCCGUAGCCGGUUACCAAGAUUACGUGAAGUACCCUCAGAAGGUCUACUCGAUGAUGUUAAUGCAGCACUAUGGAUGAUACCUACAGCCACGCUUACCGAGACUAACAAGCUGAUCUACAAUACGGCAGCAGUGAUCAGUGAGAUGCUUGUGAGACUGCUUUGAACAGCACACGAAGGACCUUCAUCUGGUGGUUCUUCUUCUCCUUUAGUUUGCACCGAAACACUUUCCCUCUGCUUGGAGUGGAUAUAUAAGAUUGUGGGGUGUUUCUGAUUACAGACCUUACGUUUCUAUGGAGAACCACAAGAGUCACACGCAUCGAAAUAAAGAAUUCUGUGCUUAAAUAUUGAAUUGUAGAAUGAAUUCUGCAUUUGUAAAUUCAUUUUUUGAAUUCCAGUUUAAUAAACUGAUUUUCAAAAUGCUUUUUAAAAACUUCAUUUCAAAAACGUUUUUUGAAUUUCAAUUUAAUAAAGUGAUUUUCUAAAUGCUUUUUAAAA
ensembl:lncRNA